ACAAGAUGCCAUGGAGUACGUCCCAUAGCACUUAAAUUGCCUCCUCAAAGCCUCCACUUGCCUCCCUUCCUCCCAUCGUAGUCCCUCCCACCGAGGAG